rnacentral:rRNA from 1 species
UACGGAGGGCGCAAGUGUUGUUCGGAAUCACUGGGUUUAAAGGGUGCGUAGGCGGCCUGAUAAGUUAGUGGUGAAAUCGUGCCGCUUAACGGUAUACUCGCCAUUAAUACUGUCGGGCUUGAGUAAGUGUAAGGGAGAUGGAAUGCGUGGUGUAGCGGUGAAAUGCAUAGAUAUCUCGCAGAACGCCGAUUGCGAAGGUAGUUUUCUGGCACUUAACUGACGCUGAGGCACGAAAGCGUGGGUAGCGAACAGG